rnacentral:siRNA from 1 species
ACGCAAAGGUUCAUCAGGCUA